GAUGAAGAACGUAGCGAAAUGCGAUAAGUAAUGUGAAUUGCAGAAUUCAGUGAAUCAUCGAAUCUUUGAACGCACCUUGCGCCCUUUGGCUAUUCCGAAGGGCAUGCCUGUUUGAGUAUCGUGAACACCUCAACUCUCAUGGUUUGCCAUGAUGAGCUUGGACUUGGGGGUUUUGCUGGACUUCGGUCGGCUCCUCUCAAACGGAUCAGCUUUCCAGUGUUUUGUGGCGUCACGGGUGUGAUAACUAUCUACGCCUGUGGUUUUCUGCCAGAUAACCUUCAGCGAUGGAGGUUCGCUGGGGCUCAUAAAUGUCUCUCUUCAGUGGAGACAGCUUUUUGGACGUUUGAUCUCAAAUCAGGUAGGACUACCCGCUGAACUUAAGCAUAUCAAUAAGCGGAGGA
rnacentral:misc_RNA from 1 species